CCUCCAAACCUCCCGCCGCCGCACACAGCCGAUCCCCCACGAGCUCGAACCCUAUCCUCGACCAAGGUGCUCCAUCCCCACCCUGUCACCAAGGACUCCAGCCUCGUCGUCAUCCUAGGCACCGGGUAGAUCCCGGCGAAGACUAGGCUCAACCGGUGUCAGAAGCUCCUGUCGGACGUGGCGGGGUGCUGCUCCACGCCAUCUUGCUUCUCCACCGCCGCCCCCGCAUCAUCCUGCCUCUCCACCAGUGCCCCCACACCGGCCUGCUCCCCCGCCGUCGUCGCCCACUCCCUGCUGCCGGUGCCGGCGAUUUCCCACGAUCGAAACACAUCAGCACCGGCAGGUUCUUCUUCAGAAGGCAGACAUCUAGCGUCCAUCUUCAAGAGACCACAUCCAUUUGAUGUGCAACCACAAUCUAAAAACUAGCUACACCGUGGGCGUUUAUCUUCAAGUCAUUACCCAUCUAACGUGCUUGUUGCAACCGCUUCGGCGAACAUUUAAAACACUGCCCAGCAAAUAAAGGGUGGAAACAGUACUAACCACGAAUGCCACUAUUCAAGGGGAUGUGAAUUAUGCCUGGAAUCGUGAAAGGAAGCAAACAUAAUGACUCGACUCACAAUGAACCAUGAAGCCAGCAAUCCACAUCAACUGAAUGUUUUACUUCUCAUUUUGUACAACUGAUGUCUCAUACUUGAUGUCUUUUAGCUGUCCUUUGUUGAACUUGAUGUAUGGUGUAUUGGUGGUUAUGUUUAGAACAGAACGAAGUGUAUGUAUGCGACUAUUAGUU